rnacentral:rRNA from 1 species
UUGGAGGGCAGUCUGGUGCCAGCAGCCGCGGUAAUUCCAGCUCCAAUAGCGUAUAUUAAAGUUGUUGCAGUUAAAAAGCUCGUAGUUGAACUUCGGGGUCUACCCAUUGGUCAGGCUUAAUUGUCUGCACUGGUGAGAUGGAUCUCUACCUUCUGAGGAACUUUCAUGCCAUUUAUUUGGUGUGAUGGGAAAUCAGGACUGUUACUUUGAAAAAAUUAGAGUGUUUAAAGCAGACUAUCGUCUGAAUACAUUAGCAUGGAAUAAUGAAAUAGGACGGACUGAUUUUAUUUCGUUGGUUUCUAGGAUCACCGUAAUGAUUAAUAGGGAUAGUUGGGGGCAUUAGUAUUCAAUUGUCAGAGGUGAAAUUCUUGGAUUUAUUGAAGACUAACUACUGCGAAAGCAUUUGCCAAGGAUGUUUUCAUUAAUCAAGAACGAAAGUUAGGGGAUCGAAGACGAUCAGAUACCGUCGUAGUCUUAACCAUAAACUAUGCCGACUAGGGAUCGGACGAAGUUAAUUUUUUAAUGACUCGUUCGGCGCCUUACGGGAAAC